AGUUAUGGCAGCUGUGCGCGGGACACCUUCGGGUGUGCCGGGAUCCUUGUGCCCCGGUCGGCCAACCCGCGUACAGCUGUCACCAUU
rfam:Pseudomonas oryzihabitans strain TSDA-ARS-TSMARC-56511, complete genome.